rnacentral:lncRNA from 1 species
GUGUGAAAGGUUUGUUAAGGUUGAAGCUAAUAUGAUAAUAAUGGUUGUUAUUAGGGUGAAUUACACUUUGCACCCCUUUCAUGUACAUUUCACUUCACACCCUUCAUUUUCUAUCAAUCAAUCCCUUACACUUUGUCUAGUGUCAAUACAACCAUUCCGUUUAACCAUUCUUCAAUUAAUAGCCACGUGUUACAUUGACGCUUAGCCUAAAGUGCCAGAGUUGAUUAAUAUAAUUGAAAGUAAAUGGUGUAGAGUGAGAUUUCAAUAAAAGUACGAGGGUGUAAAGUGUGAUUUUACCUUGUUAAUAUGUUUUUGUUAUCAAGCAAAAUUUGAACUACUCUCCAACCAAGAAUAGGAUUUUUAACUUAAAAAAAGUGUUUAGAAUCUUUUACUAUUUAUAUGAGAAUGUCUCUUUAAAAUUAUUUCCAUUUUUAAAAAUAGUUUCGUUCGUUUCUUAGUUUCGCUACAAAUUUUAAAAUUUUAAAAUUAUAAAAUAUUUAUUAAAAUUAUUCAACAUGGGUCUCAUUUUAAAUAUCAUUUUGAUAUCUUUUCCACAAAACAAAUGUUGUCUCUUUUUUCUCUACUUUUUUUUCUGUUUUUUUCCUUAUAUUUUAUCUCUUUUUUAAUUAUUUCUUUCCAACAAACACAUCCGGGAAUUAAAAUACCACCAUGAUUGUUGGAAUAAAAUCUUAGUUACAUACGAAGAAAAAGAGAUAAAUAAUCUUUUUACAUGUAGACUUUAGUUAACAUUUCAUAUGCAAUUUUCUUAUCUAAAUGUAAAUUGUAUUUUUAUUGAUUUUAAUUUAUCUACUCUUUCUCGUCUAAUUUAUUUUGUCCACUUUCAAGAGAGAGAGAGAAAUAAUGGACAGACAUUAGCUAGUAUUCCAACUUCGUUUAGUGUUUAAUGUUUCUGUAUAAUUUUAUUUUUUAUGUAUGGCUUUACUUAUUUCUCCCUUUUCAUCUUUAAAUAAGUUGUUUUAAUUCUUAGAAUAUAAUUUCUUUAUGAAGUUCACUAAUUUCUUAAAUGCAAAUGAAUGCAAUGAUCUUCUGUGUUUAUGAAGUUCACUAAUUUCUGUAUUAUUUCUUUAUGAGAAAUAAUUUCUUUUUUUCUUUCGUGUUUUACUGUUUUUAUCUACUUUUUCUGUUAUAUAUAUAUAUUUUGUUAUCUUCUUUUUUUUUCUUUAUAAUUAGAGCGGAUGAUCUUUCUGUUUAUAUAUAGAGUUCUUUAUGAGAAAUAAUUUCUUUUAUAUUUUUUCUGUUAUGGCACUGAUCUCUGUGUUAUAUUUGUUUCUUUUGUUAUAAUUGAUUUGAUAGAUAAAUAAUCUCAUAAGCAUCACCAGAGCUCAUAGUUUAAAUCUUGCAAAAUAGAAAUUUCAUUCAAAAUUCCUCCUAGCAAAAAAAUUCGUAAGAGUCGUACCUUUAGUGCAUCCCUGAAUGUUUACAAAAUCCUCCAGUCUGGUCCUCGUCUGGACAUUUGCCAUGGAGACUGACAUCAAAGGAGCCCCGCUUACAUGGAAAAAUAUAUCGAAUUGUCCCCUCGAUAAUAGGGGCUGUAAGAUCACUUUAGAACGCGUUUGGUGGAAUGAGAUGCCUCCCCCGGAUUUGGGGCAUUUUCCCCCAUUUCUUCUCCCUGUUCUCCUUCUCCACAGUUUGCCCACACUUUUUUCCCUCCUGGAUUUCUUCUCCGGUUGCCUCCCAAAAAUCCUCUAGAGCGGGAGAAAGGGACGACAGGGGUUACCCCCGUCCGUAGUCCGCUGUGGGUCCGCGUGGGAAGAAAUUACCCUAUGUGGCCCUCGAUCCUCUUCUUCCCCUUAGAUGGUCACGCAGUGGUCUCUCUCACAUGUUCACCAGUGUUCGAGUCCUCUCUCUCUCUCUCCUCUGUACGAAAUUGGGGGUGCUGAUUUGGGUAAGAAGAACCAGGGAAUGGAUUAAUUUUACUUGGGCAAAUUAACACUGACCUCCCCUUAGGUUAUGGGAUUAACCACAAAAAACCCUGAACUUUAAAGAUUAUAAUUACCAACCUCCCCUAAAGUUUAAAACUUGUAAUAGAUUCCCUUUAUUUUAACUCAAAAAAAUAAUUUUAAUUAUAUAUUAAUGAUUAAUAUUUUAUUUUUACUUGAUGUUGAUUUUAAUUUUUUUUUAUUAUUUAUUUAUUUAGUUAUUUAUUUAUUUAGUCAAAGUAAAAAUAUUUUCUAAACUACAAGGACCUUUUGGGUUUGGGUUUACAUAUUUUGGUGUGUUUUGAGUUUUUCUUCAAAUACUUUUUAUGUUUAUUUUUUAUAGUAUUUUUUAUUAUCAACAAACCCAUUGAAAACAAAAUUAAAAAUUAAAAAUCUUGAAUCAAAGUUAAAAAUAAAUUAUCCACAGUCUUUUAGCUUAUUUUUCUAAAAUUAAAGACUUGUUUCAAUCUUUUACUAUUUUUUUCUAUUUUUUUGGUUGUCAAUUUUUUUAAAAUUUUAAUUUUGGAUCAUUUACCCAAAAAAUUCAUAUACAUUUUGAAAUUAUAUAUUAAUAUUAAAUUAAUUUUUUUAUUUUAUGCAUCUAACUAUUAAUUAAAGAUAAUUUUAUCUAUUAAACGAAUUAUAUUUAAUAUUAACACUAAUUAUGAAGUGGGGGUAAUUUUGUCUUUUCACAUCUUAUUCUAUAUCAUCUCCAACAUCUAAUCCCCUUUUUUUCAAAACACAAUGCCAACACCAAACUAUAAAAUCAAAACCCUUCUUAAAGGUGGGGGCCCCCCUUAUUAUAAAUCCUCCCUCAUUUUAAAUCCCUCCUCAAAAAAUCCUCCCUCAUUUUAAAUCCACCUAAAAUAUCAUGCUCCUGCUGCCAAACGGGUGUUUUAUAGAAUUCUGGAUUUCUACCGAGACCCUGCAGUAUGAACGUUUUUUGAAUAAGUUCUUCUCUGGUCCGAUUCCCUUUUGAUCGAUAACUGUUUGCCCUGCAGCGCGAGUAAGCCAAUGGAACCAAAGAUGUAAUAAGUUAACUAUCCGUCCUCUGAAUAAAAACUUACAAAGCAAACUAGACAAUUAGCAGCUAUUUAAAAACAUUUUAAACGCAAAGUCAUUGCAAAUGAGGGAUGUUUUAUUAAAAGUCAAAAUUAAAAUAUAGCCUGUAAUUUUCUAGCAUUUCACUUCCUAUGCUUGGCUAUGUAAACAUUUUUUAUUUUUAUUCUUUUUAAAAUUUUUUCCUUUUCUUCUUUUUUGAUUUCCUUUUUUUUCUUUUUGUUACUUGUUUUUUUACUCAGUUUUUUUUUCCCUUUUUUUCUAUUCUUCCUGUUCUAUAUUAUUUUUUGUUUUUUUUUCCUUUUUUCUUUCUUCUUGUCAAAUUCGAAAAAGGUAAAAAAAAAAAAAAAAAAACAAAUUUUUCAAAAUGUAAAAUAUAUCCUGUAAAUUUUCUAGCAUUUCACUUCCCAUGCUUGCUAGGUAAAACAUUUUUAUUUUUAUUCUUUUUUUAUUUUUUAACUUUUUUUUAACAUUUUUUUCUUUUUCUAUUUUAAUCCACUUUUUCUGUUUUUUCUUCUUUUUCUGAUUUCCUUUUUCUCUCUCUUUUUCUUUCUUUUUUUCUUUUUUCUUACUGUUUUUUCUGUUUUUCUGCUUUUUUUAUAUUUUCCUGUUAUAUACAUAUUUUCUAUUUUUUUUGUUUUUAAGUCAUUUUCUUUUUUUUCUUUUUAAUGGUUUUUUUUUUCUUAUUUUAUCACUUUUUCUGUUUUCUUUUUUUUCGGUUUAUAUAAAAAUAUUUUGUUAUCUUUUUUUUCUUUUAUAGUUUUUUCUAUUUUUAUCUAAAUUUUUUGCCUUUAAUUUUCAUUUGUUUUUUUUUUAUGUUUUUUUUUCAUGUUUUUUAAUAUUUUUCCUAUUCUCUUUUUUUUUAAUACAGUUUUUAUCUAUUUAUAUAUAUAUUUUAUGUUAUCUUUUUUUUUUUUGGGUUUUCCUUUCUUUCUUUUUUCAUAUUCUUUUUUAUUGUUUCCAUUUAUUCGCUGUUUUUAUUUUUUAUUUUUAAUCCUAACUUUUUCCUACUUUUCUAUUCUUCCUCUUCCUUUCUUAUUUUUUUCUGUUUCUUUUCAUUUUUUUCUGUUUUUUAUCUUAUUUUUCUGUUUAUGAAUAAUUUUUUAUAUUUGUACCUAAUUAUUUUUUUAAAAAUUCAAAUAUUUUUUUCUAUUUUUUCUUUUCUGCUUCUUUUUUUUUCUUGCCUUAUUUCCUGUUUUUAUUAUUUUUAUUUUAUCUACUUUUUUUGCAAUUUCUUUCUGUUUUUUGUUUUUAAUUUCAUUUUUUUAUGUUUAUCUUUUUUGUUUUAAUUUCAUUUUUCUUUUUUCCUUUUUUCCUUCUUGAUUUAUUUUUUUCUCUUUUCUCUUUUUAUUAUUUUUUCUUUGCUUGUUUUUUUUUCUGUUUUUUCUGGUUUAAAAACAUUUUUUUUUUGCUAUUUUUUUUAAGGUUUCCCUAUUUUUUGUCUAAUAUUUGUCAGUUUUUCUUUUUCUUCUGUUUUCCUCCUAUUUUUUUGUUUUUGAAUUUACAUUUUCUUUUUUAUAGUUUAUCUUUUUUUGAAUUAAUUUUAUUUUUCACAAUAUUUUCUUUUCCUUUUUCCCGGUUUUUAUUUUCUUUUUUUCUAGUUUUUAUAUUUUUUCUUUUCUUAUUUUUUUGUUACUUUUUUUAUUUUCUAUAUUUUUCAUUUUAUUAUUUUAUAUAUUAUAAUAUAUAUAAAAAAUAUAUAUAUUGUUUUAUUUCCUUUUUUAUCCUUUUCUUUUUUUACUUUCAUUUUGUAUUUUUGGUUUCUCCCAAUUUUUAUUUCUUUUUUAAUUUCUCUUUUCUGUUUUUAAUUUUUUUACAGUUUUUUCUAUUUUUUUUCUUUUUUUUGGCCUUUUAAUUAGUUUAUCUUUUUUGAUUUUAAUUUUUUUUUUGAAUAUUUCUGUUUUCUAAUUUUUGAUUUUUUUGUAUAUUUUAACUAUUUUAGACUUUCUCUGUAUUUAUUUUUUCUUUUUAUAUAUAUAAAUAUGUUUAAUGUUAUCUCUUUUUCCCCCUUUUUUAUGUAAAUAUCUUAUUUUUUACUGUUUUGUACUAUUUUUUUCUUUUCUAUAUAUUCUAUUUAUACAUAUUGUUAUCUCUUUUUUUAUCUAAUUUUUUUUCACUUUUUCGUUUUGUUUAUGUUUUUCUUUGUUUUACUUUUUUUCUGUUUUUAAUUAUUUAAUAAAAUUUUUCAAUUUUUUUUUUGAUUUUUGUUUUUAAUUUUAUUUUUUUAUGUUUAUCUUUGGGGGGGGUGUGGUUUGGUUGGGAAAUUUCAUUUCUCUUUUUUCCUUCUUUCUUGUUUUAUUUUUUUCUCUUUUCUCUUUUUAUUAUGUUUUUCUUUGCUUAUUUUUUUUUCUGUUUUUUAUUUUUUAUCAUUUUUUUGCUAUUUUUUUCAGGUUUCCCUAUUUUUUUCUAAUUUUUUUCAGUUUUCUUUUUCUUCUUUUUUCCUAUUUUUUUGUUUUAAUUUUACAUUUUUCCCCUUUAUUUAGUUUAUCUUUUUUUGAUUUAAUUUUAUUUUUUAAUAUUUUCUUUUCCUUUUUCCCGUUUAUAUUUUUUACUUAUUUCCCUUUUCUUUUUUUUUUAUAUAAUAUAUAUAAUAUUUUUGGUUAUAUAUUUUUUAAACUUUUUUCCUUUUUUUUUCUAUUCUUCUGAUUUUUUUUCUUUGUUUUUCUUUCCCUUAUUUUUUAACCUCCUUUUCCCUCUUUUUCCCCUUGUUUUUAUGUCUUUUUUUGUUUGAUUUUUUUUCAUAUUUUAACUAUUUUAUACUUUUUCUAUUUUUUAUUUUUUCUAUUUAUACAUAAAUAUAUUUAAAGUUAUUUUUUCCCUUUUUUAUCUACUUUUUUUUAUUAGUUUACAUUUUUUUUACUACUUUUUUUUCUUUUCUAGAUAUUCUAUUUAUACAUAUAUUGUUAUUUUUUUUUCUUUUAUUGUUCUUUUCUAUAUAUACAUUUUUUUUCCUUUUAUUCUCAUCGAUUUUUCUGUUUUUAUAUAUAACGUAUAAUAUUUUUAUUGUAUUAUUUUUUUUCUAUGUAUAAUUUUUUUUUUGAGUUUUUCUUUGUUUUUUCCUUUUUUUUCCUUUUUCCCUUAUUUUCCCCAUUUUUAUCUUUUUUUUUCUUUCUCUUUUUCAAUUUUUAACAUUUUUUUUCUUUAUUUUUUUAUUUUCUUUAUUUUUGUUUUUUUUCUAUUUUUUCCCUACUUUUCUUAUUUUUUCCGUGUUUUAGUUUUAUAUUUUUUUGUUUUAAUUUUUAGUUUUGAAUAUUUAUUUUUUAUUUUUUUCCUGUUUUUAAUUGUUUUUUGAAUUUUGAAUAUGUUUCAUAUUUUAACUUAUUUAGAAUUUUUUGUUUUUUAUUUUUUAUGUUUAUGUAUAAAUAUAUUUAAUGGUGUCUACUUUAAUUUACCUUUUCUUUUUGUAUAAAAUAUAUAUAAUAUUUUGUGUUAUAUUAUUUUUUAACUUUUUUCCCUUUUUUCUGAGUUUUUCCCUUUUUCCCCUUGUUUUUAUGUCUUUUUUGUUUUUUUCUUCUUUUAAUUUCUCUUUUCUGUUUUUUUAGCUAAUUUUUUUCUCUUUUUUGUUUUUUAUGUUUUUCUUUGUUUUUAAUUUUAUAACUGUUUUUUUAUUUUCUUUUUUUAUCUAUUUUUUUCUGUUUUUCUUCCGCUUUUUUUGUCUUUAUUUAGUUUAUUUUUUUGUUUUAAUUUUUUUUGAAUAUUUACUUUUCCUUUUGAUUUUUUAUUCAUAUUUUAACUAUUUUUAGGACUUUUUAUAUUUAUAUUUGUUCUUUUUAUAAUAAUAAAUUUUAUUUUUUUCCCUUUUUUAUUGUUUACAUUUUUUUACCACUUUUUUUCCUUUUCUAUAUGAUUCUCUUGUAUAUAUAUAUUAUAUAUAUAUAUAUAUAUUUAUAUAUAUAAUAUAUUUCUUUAUUGGGUCUUUCUUUUCUAAUAUAUUAUGGUUUUUUUCCAUGUUUAUUUUUCAUUAAUUUUUCUAUUUUAUGUAUAAUGGAUAUAUUUUUAAUGUAUUGUUUUUCUUGUUUUCUUAUUUGUUUUCUUCUGUGUAUAAUAUAUUUCUGAGAUUUUCUUUGUUUUUUUCCUUUUUCCUCAUUUGCCUCCUUUUAUCUUUUUUUUUUUGUCUUUUUCAUUUUUUGUAACCAUUUUUUGGCUUUUUUUCUAUUUUUCUUUGUUUUCUUUCCCCCCUUCUCUUUUUUUUAAUCUCAUUUUUUUUCUAUUUUUUCUUCUUUUUUUUUUUUUCCCUUUUUUUAGUUAAUAUUUUCUUGUUUUAAUUUUAUUUUUGAAUAUUUACUUUUCCUUUUUUUCCUGUUUUUAAUUUUUUUUGAAUUUUUGAUUUUUUUCAUAUUUUAAUUUAUUUAGACUUUUUCUGUUUUUUUAUUAUUUUUUCUGUUUAUAGAUAAAUAUAUUUAAUGGUGUCUACUUUAAUUUCUCUUUUCUUUUUUUAUAAAAUAUAUAUAAUAUUUUGUGUUAUAUUUUUUUUUUAACUUUUUUGCCUUUUUUCUGAGUU